GAGUUUGAUCAUGGCUCAGAUUGAACGCUGGCGGCAGGCCUAACACAUGCAAGUCGAGCGGAUGACGGGAGCUUGCUCCUUGAUUCAGCGGCGGACGGGUGAGUAAUGCCUGGGAAUCUGCCUGGUAGUGGGGGACAACGUUUCGAAAGGAACGCUAAUACCGCAUACGUCCUACGGGAGAAAGCAGGGGACCUUCGGGCCUUGCGCUAUCAGAUGAGCCUAGGUCGGAUUAGCUAGUUGGUGGGGUAAUGGCUCACCAAGGCGACGAUCCGUAACUGGUCUGAGAGGAUGAUCAGUCACACUGGAACUGAGACACGGUCCAGACUCCUACGGGAGGCAGCAGUGGGGAAUAUUGGACAAUGGGCGAAAGCCUGAUCCAGCCAUGCCGCGUGUGCGAAGAAGGUCUUCGGAUUGUAAAGCACUUUAAGUUGGGAGGAAGGGCAGUAAGUUAAUACCUUGCUGUUUUGACGUUACGACAGAAUAAGCACCGGCUAACUCUGUGCCAGCCGCC
rnacentral:rRNA from 1 species